GAUGAACGCUGGCGGCGUGCCUAAUACAUGCAAGUCGAGCGAACAGACAAGGAGCUUGCUCCUUUGACGUUAGCGGCGGACGGGUGAGUAACACGUGGGUAACCUACCUAUAAGACUGGGAUAACUUCGGGAAACCGGAGCUAAUACCGGAUAAUAUUUCGAACCGCAUGGUUCGAUAGUGAAAGAUGGUUUUGCUAUCACUUAUAGAUGGACCCGCGCCGUAUUAGCUAGUUGGUAAGGUAACGGCUUACCAAGGCGACGAUACGUAGCCGACCUGAGAGGGUGAUCGGCCACACUGGAACUGAGACACGGUCCAGACUCCUACGGGAGGCAGCAGUAGGGAAUCUUCCGCAAUGGGCGAAAGCCUGACGGAGCAACGCCGCGUGAGUGAUGAAGGUCUUCGGAUCGUAAAACUCUGUUAUUAGGGAAGAACAUACGUGUAAGUAACUAUGCACGUCUUGACGGUACCUAAUCAGAAAGCCACGGCUAACUACGUGCCAGCAGCCGCGGUAAUACGUAGGUGGCAAGCGUUAUCCGGAAUUAUUGGGCGUAAAGCGCGCGUAGGCGGUUUUUUAAGUCUGAUGUGAAAGCCCACGGCUCAACCGUGGAGGGUCAUUGGAAACUGGAAAACUUGAGUGCAGAAGAGGAAAGUGGAAUUCCAUGUGUAGCGGUGAAAUGCGCAGAGAUAUGGAGGAACACCAGUGGCGAAGGCGACUUUCUGGUCUGUAACUGACGCUGAUGUGCGAAAGCGUGGGGAUCAAACAGGAUUAGAUACCCUGGUAGUCCACGCCGUAAACGAUGAGUGCUAAGUGUUAGGGGGUUUCCGCCCCUUAGUGCUGCAGCUAACGCAUUAAGCACUCCGCCUGGGGAGUACGACCGCAAGGUUGAAACUCAAAGGAAUUGACGGGGACCCGCACAAGCGGUGGAGCAUGUGGUUUAAUUCGAAGCGACGCGAAGAACCUUACCAAAUCUUGACAUCCUUUGACAACUCUAGAGAUAGAGCCUUCCCCUUCGGGGGACAAAGUGACAGGUGGUGCAUGGUUGUCGUCAGCUCGUGUCGUGAGAUGUUGGGUUAAGUCCCGCAACGAGCGCAACCCUUAAGCUUAGUUGCCAUCAUUAAGUUGGGCACUCUAAGUUGACUGCCGGUGACAAACCGGAGGAGGGUGGGGAUGACGUCAAAUCAUCAUGCCCCUUAUGAUUUGGGCUACACACGUGCUACAAUGGACAAUACAAAGGGCAGCGAAACCGCGAGGUCAAGCAAAUCCCAUAAAGUUGUUCUCAGUUCGGAUUGUAGUCUGCAACUCGACUACAUGAAGCUGGAAUCGCUAGUAAUCGUAGAUCAGCAUGCUACGGUGAAUACGUUCCCGGGUCU
rnacentral:rRNA from 1 species